rnacentral:lncRNA from 1 species
UUCAUGCUAUAUUUAUAUAUUUUAAUUUCUGAUUUAAUACUAUGUAAUAAUCAUGUAAUAGGAUCUUAGAUCUAGGGAUUCUCUAGUUUUAGAAAAUAAAUUUUGAUUUAUUUUAGUCUUCCGCUGUAUGAUCUUGAAAAAGUUUCAAGAUCUAACCCUGAAACUCUAGAUCUGGUUUCUACACCAACACACUUCUGCUAUCAUCAUGGUC